GGUCGAGCAGUGCAGACCGCGGACCGGACCGAGGCAGCCGCCCUGAGCCCGCACCUCCUUCCCGCCGCACCGCCGGCCCGGAGCUCCGCCUGGCCCACGGCUGAGCUGCGGCACAGAGGCCGCACCGCGAACUUGGUGCCCGGAGACCGAGGACCGCCGCGGGGACUGUGCGGCCGGAGCAGGGAGCCCUUCCGGAUUUUUAGAGUGUCAUUCCAAGAAUAACAAAACUCUAAAACUUGGCAUUAUUUCUAAAAUUCUAGAACUCUGGAUCUCUGUGAAGUAUGAGAAAAUUCUAAAGACAUUGCACUCAGAAUGCCCCUUAAUGAUUCAUUUAAUGGCCAGCUGCCACACUGUCAUUGAUGGUUGCUUGUUAACAAACUUAAGCAAGCUAAAUUUUAUCAGUUUUUCCCUAACAAUAUGUAAUUGAUUCCAGGUGUGGAACAUGAACACCAUAUAAACCCUCAGAGCCUCCCAGUCCCGGCACAAAACCUCCUCGAGCCAAGGUAGCUGACCUGGUGGUGCUCUGCUUCGGGGAGGGCCUACACAUGUUCACACCCUGGCCUCCAGGCAAAUAGUGUUAGACGCAGCACCCAGUCGGGAGAGGCAGAGGGCCUCCCAAGGCACACUGCUGCAGGGUGAGGUCACUCAGAGUCAGCUGUUCUGCAGAAAGAGCUGAGUGUUGAACAGAGGAGUACGGAAAGGAGAGCACUGAUGGGUUUCGAAAACCGAAGCCAGAGCGAUGAGGCUCCUGCCUAAUUGUCUCUCCCUCUGAGACAGAUUCAGGGUCUGGAGGAGGGUCAAAAGAUUCACUUCUGAAGAGGUGGAGAAGCAGUCACUUCUUACCUCAAAGAACACCAUGCCACUGCCCUGUGUUUGGAGAAACGCAGAGCUUCUCGCUGUCGAGCGGGACCUGGUGAUUCAUCCAAGGUCAGUGCCGGCAGUUGAGGGAGGAGCUCCAGCAGCUCCUGAGGCAGCCUUCACUUUGCCCCCAGGGCCUGCACACACUGGAGGGGGACAGUCUGCUCCUGAGAACAAGACACCUGCCCUGCCGAAGCUGUGUUUCCUGGAAGCUUGCCUGGCUUCUCCAGCUGGGGUUAGGGACGCUUCCUAUAUGCCCGGUCCAGUAAGUGUUUUGGGGGAGUCAAGAGCUCCAUUAAAACAGCGCUCACUGAUCCGAAGACACCAUGAGCCAGAACAAUGUUAA
rnacentral:lncRNA from 1 species